rnacentral:lncRNA from 1 species
ACCACCAGUGCUACAAACAAGAGCAAGAUACAAGUAUAAAACAUAUACAAGUACAUAAAGAGAGAAGAGCUAUCUAUUACAUCCAUUUGACUUAAUACAUUUAAUUACAUCUUUCACAUUCUUCCAAAAUAUAGAUACAACCACUCUAACCUCACCCUAUACAUCAUCUACUCUCAAAUACAAAAGGGUGACAGCUAAUGCAAAAAGGGAGGUAGCUAAUGCGACUAGAGCGCCGGGCCCUUACCGCGAUCCUCACGCUCACCGGGGACGCCCGAACUAGAACCUGUGGUGAAAAUGGGGGUGAGAACUAACUUCCUUAGUUCCCAGUGGGUUCGGCCGCCGACUCCACNUUGACAUCGAUUCGUUCCAAAUUUACUCUGUCGGGACAUAAUAGAACGAGAUAAUUAGUUUUUACUCUUUGUUCGAUAGAAUGAGAAACAGUACUCGUUGCAAAUUUAUACUGUUAAGGUGCAUGUGAGCAGUCUAAUGUUGUUCCGAUUUUGGUUUUAGUGAACGUUGACAUCGAUUCGAUCCAACUUUCCACUCUCGUGGCAUAAUCCAACAAGUUAAUUAGGUUUUACUCUUUGUUCGAUGAAAUAAGAAAAAGCACUCGUUGCAAAGUUAUACUGUUAGGGCACAACUGAGUAGUCUAAUGUUGCUUCGGUUUUGGUUUUUGUGAACGUUGACAUCGAUUCGUUCCAAAUUUACACUCUUGGGGCAUAAUAGAACAAUAUAAUUAGCUUCUACUAUUUGGUCGAUAAAAUGAGAAAAAGUACUCGUUGCAAAGCUAUACUGUUAGUGCGCACCUGAGUAGUCUAAUGUUGUUCCUGUUUUGUUUCUUGUGAACGUUGACAUCGAUUCGUUCCAAAUUUACACUCUCGGGGCAU